rnacentral:rRNA from 1 species
AAUUGGAGGGCAAGUCUGGUGCCAGCAGCCGCGGUAAUUCCAGCUCCAAUAGCGUAUAUUAAAGUUGUUGCAGUUAAAAAGCUCGUAGUUGAAUUUCGGGGUCAGUAGGUUGGUCGUGCCACAGGUAUGAACUGGUCUCACUGAUUCCUCCUUCCUGAUGAACCGUAAUGCCAUUAAUUUGGUGUUGCGGGGAGACUGGACUGUUACUUUGAAAAAAUUAGAGUGUUUAAAGCAGGCUCACGCUCGAAUACAUUAGCAUGGAAUAAUGAAAUAGGACGUUUGAUUCUAUUUUGUUGGUUUCUAGGAUCGACGUAAUGAUUAAUAGGGAUAGUUGGGGGGCAUUAGUAUUCAAUUGUCAGAGGUGAAAUUCUUGGAUUUAUUGAAGACUAACUACUGCGAAAGCAUUUGCCAAGGAUGUUUUCAUUAAUCAAGAACGAAAGUUAGGGGAUCGAAGACGAUCAGAUACCGUCGUAGUCUUAACCAUAAACUAUGCCGACUAGGGAUCGGAUGAUGUUAAUUUUUUAAUGACUCAUUCGGCACCUUACGGGAAACCAAAGUGU